AUUGAACGCUGGCGGCAUGCCUUACACAUGCAAGUCGAACGGCAGCGCGGGCUUCGGCCUGGCGGCGAGUGGCGAACGGGUGAGUAAUGUAUCGGAACGUGCCCUAGAGUGGGGGAUAACUAGUCGAAAGAUUGGCUAAUACCGCAUACGAUCUAAGGAUGAAAGCGGGGGAUCGCAAGACCUCGUGCUCAUGGAGCGGCCGAUAUCUGAUUAGCUAGUUGGUGGGGUAAAGGCCUACCAAGGCGACGAUCAGUAGCUGGUCUGAGAGGACGACCAGCCACACUGGACUGAGACACGGCCCAGACUCCUACGGGAGGCAGCAGUGGGGAAUUUUGGACAAUGGGGGCAACCCUGAUCCAGCAAUGCCGCGUGUGUGAAGAAGGCCUUCGGGUUGUAAAGCACUUUUGUCCGGAAAGAAAUUGCCUGAGCUAAUACCUUGGGUAGAUGACGGUACCGGAAGAAUAAGCACCGGCUAACUACGUGCCAGCCGCCGCAGUAA
rnacentral:rRNA from 1 species